rnacentral:lncRNA from 1 species
GGUGUACAACCGACGAAGAAUGGGGAUUUGUGUUCCAUAUGGAACUAUGAUGGAAAGAUAGCAUACGAGGAUAUUGUUGCAGCAACAGAGGAUUUCGACUUUCGAUACUGUAUAGGAGUUGGUGGUUAUGGAAGUGUUUACAGAGCACAACUACCUUGUGGUAAAGUAGUUGCCUUGAAGAAACUUCAUCGUUUAGAAGAUGAAAAUCCAGCCUUUGACAAGAGCUUCAGGAAUGAGAUCAAGUUUCUAACAGAAAUACGACAUCGAAGCAUCGUAAAGCUUCAUGGGUUUUGUCUACACCGACGGUCCAUGUUUUUGAUCUACGAGUACAUGGAAAAAGGGAGUUUGUUCUGCAACCUAAGAGAUGAAGUGGAAGCUGUGGAAAUGGAUUGGACAAAAAGAGUGGAGAUCAUCAAGGGCAUAGCGCAUGCUUUGUCUUACUUGCACUAUGAUUGCAGCCCUCCAAUAGUUCAUCGAGACAUAUCAAGUAACAAUGUUCUUUUAAACUCGAGCUUUGAGGCCUUUGUAGCUGACUUUGGGACUGCUAAAAUGUUGGAUCUUGAAUCAUCCAAUCAGACCAUUAUUGUGGGCACAUGUGGUUAUGUAGCUCCAGGUGGUUUUCUUUGCUUCGUUUGAUGACAUUUUCUUCGGAAUUUAUAAAAUUAAUUGAACAUAUAAAUGAUUUUCUUUUUUAUCUGGUUUUUGGUAUGCAGAACUUGCAUAUACGUUGGUUGUCACCGAAAAAUGUGAUGUCUAUAUUUUUGGAGUGGUAGCACUGGAAACGUUAAUGGGAAAGCAUCCCGAAGAAUUGUUAUCAUGGUUGUCAUCACCAACUUCUUUGGUAAAUAUGAGGCUGAUUGAUGUGCUAGACAACCGUUUACCACUUCCGACAAGUCAAUUAGUUGCACAAAAUCUUGUUCGCAUUGCUACUUUGGCAUUCGCCUGCCUAAAUCCGCAACCUAAGUCUCGACCAACGAUGAAAAAAGUGUGCGAAGAGUUUCUUUGUGGUCAAACAUCCUUGGGAGUUCCCCUUCGGAUGAUCUCUUUGUUACAACUUGUGAACUGUGAAAUGCAUAUUGGAGGCAAAACUGGAACUUGUAAUGUUUAAACUCCAUGUGGCUGUUCUUGAUUAGAUAUUGUUUAUCAUGCUUUGAUGAUUUGUUUGUAAACCAUAUCCUGUGUUAUAUAUGGUGGAAUGAAUUGCAAUGUUCAAUAAAUUUGUUUAUUUGAUUGUUUUACAUAACAUAAAUUCGACAAUUUGAUCCAAAUAUUCAAACACCAUCCUAAUAGCUUCCUUCAAUUUCGUGCUUCUUAGAUAAAUAAAAUAUAAGUAAAUUAAUGGUGAAUUAAAGCAACAAAAUGCAACCAAUACAUUAAGAAUUUACCUGAACUAACUAUAAUUCAUUAAACAAUCUCUCCACUUAUGUAAUGGAAGUGAGAUUUCACAGAUCUGGGCUAGGUAACAUCCAAACUUAAAAAGCAACCAAAGGGGUCAAAAUGGAGCCAGCACAAAUUCCAACAUUUGUUUUUUUCCAUAUCAAGCACAUUAAGAUUUAUUGCUUGGUAGAGUUAAAAAUUGAAAUGAAAGAAAAUAAACAUUUAAAAAUGCAUAAUUUUGAACUAAUAUACACCUCUCUCUCAUUUUCUUUCUUUUCAUCAUUCUAAUUUGGAAGUAUCGGUUUUUAUACAUUACGAUGGAAAAUGAUUCUUUCCUCUCACUUUUCUUCCAUAUCAAGCACAUUCAAAUUAAAAUAUUUAUUUAAUUUUUAUACAUCGUAAAAUGUACCAAUAGAAUUAGAACAUUAAUACACAUAUCAAUUUUAAAAAAAAGAUUAAUUUUUAAUAUUUUUAAGCUUCGUAUAAUUUAGAAAAAAAUUGUCUUGAAUGAAUCUAGACAUAGACUUAACUUGUAAAUGGUUUUUAUUAAUUUUUAAUUUUUUGAACUUUAUUUAAUAUUUUUAUAAUUUUGAAUAUUUUUUUACAAAUUUAUAAAAUUUUAAAAAAUAAAUUUUUUUAAAUAUUUUUUUAAUUUAAAAAAAUUUUAAGCUUCGAAACGAAUGAACUUGGUACUGCAACAUCAGCAACUAUUCCUUUUAAAAAUUAAAUAUUCCUUUUAAUUUUUAUUUUUUAAAAUAAAUUUUUUUAUUUUUGUUGACAUGGUAGUUGAAAUGGUAAUGGCACAUCAACAACUAUCACUGACAUGAAGCAUCAUGUUAGCGUCGUUAAUGAUUAUGUCAACAUUGCAAUGGUCAACAUUAUUCAAAGGGUCUAUUUGGUCAAUUUUGUUAGUUUAGUGGCUCAAUUGGGUGCAAAAAGUUCGUAGAGAUUUAAUUAAUUUUUUUGAAAAAGUUCGAGGACCAAAAAUAGCAUUAAACCCUUCUUUAACUAUUGAUAUAUCCUUUUUUAUGUAUAGGUCAACGGCCUAUUUGACCAAUUUCCUUUAUUUUAGGGAUACUGCAAACUACCAUCUUUCUAAUUUCCAUUGCCAGAACUAUGACAGUAGUAGAUCCAUCGCCUUUGGCGUCCGAAGCCAUAGCUAUGGUAGAAAGUGGGUGGUGGAGUAACUAUAGCAACAAUGCUUCAGAACGUUGCCAGUGGCCAGGUAUAUCAUGCAACACUGCUCGAAGCAUCAUCCAAAUUAACUUAUCUUAUGCAUUCCUUAUCGAGGUUGGAGAUAGAUUUGGGAAAUUGAAUUUCUCUUCGUUUCCAAAUCUUGUCCUUCUUGAUCUUAGUCAUCGUCAACUUAGUGGAAAAAUCCUGUAUCAGAGAGGUUAUCUAUCAGCAUUGAAGCACCUUGACCUUUCCUUUUGUGGUUUUUCCGGUGAGUUACCUCCUCCUCUAGGAAACCUAACCCAAUUAGAAUUCCUUGACAUUUCCUAUAAUUAUAACAUUAACGGCUCCAUCCCUCCACAACUAGUGAAUCUAGUGAACCUUGUCAGUUUAAAUUUGAGUAGAACCGGUCUUAGUGGAAACAUUCCACCGUUCCUUGGGCUUUUGACCGACCUUAGGCAUCUACUUUUGGAUAGGUAUCAGUUUGAUGAUGGUAAGAAUACAAUCCCCCAAAAUUUGUGGAAUUUGAGGGGUCUUGAGACUUUGAGCCUAAAUGGUUGUGGAAUUGUGGGUCCAAUCCCUUCUGCUUUGGGUCAGUUAAUAAAUCUCAAAUAUUUGGGUCUAUUGGAAAACAAAAUUAAUGGAUCUAUUCCAUCUGAAGUUGGAUUCUUAUCAAACUGAUUUUUGAUCUCUUCGACAACAGACUGGUUGGUUCAAUACCUUUUUCCUUGUACCCAUUAACUAAUAUGGAAAUUUUGUCCCUUGGUAAUAACCAGCUUGAAGGUUCCAUCCCUUGGAAUAUUGAAAAUUCGAAGAACAUCAAGAUUUUAAGCAUCAUUAAUAAUAGUUUUUCUGGUCGUAUCCCCCCAGCUUUGUGUCGUUUGACAAAUUUGGAAUAUAUUGACCUUGGCAAAAAUCAAAUCAGUGGUUUAAUCCCAUCUUGUUUUGGCAAUUUAUCCAAUUCGGAUACCUUAGAACUUGAUUCAAAUCUAUUAAAAGGUCCUAUCCCUGAAGAAAUUGGUAGGCUUUUUCACCUAUCAAGUUUAAACCUCAGCUUCAAGCAACUCUCAGGUAGUGUCCGUAUCUUGUUUGCCACUAAGCUUCGAAUUAUCAUGCUGGAAUUAACUGUAACAAGAUUUCUACCGAUCCAUUUGAAGGCAAUAGUCAUCUAUCACCCUAUAUGUGUCCUUCUCCAGUAACCAACAAAGCCAACAGCAGUACAAUUCUUUACUAUAUCAACAUAUUCCUCCCUAUUGCCAUCUUCUUCACAUUCUCCAUUUUGGGAUAUUUUCUAUUUUCACGAUUUAACCUCAAGAAUAACCGUGUCGGUGUACAACCGACGAAGAAUGGGGAUUUGUGUUCCAUAUGGAACUACGAUGGAAAGAUAGCAUACGAGGAUAUUGUUGCAGCAACAGAGGAUUUCGACUUUCGAUACUGUAUAGGAGUUGGUGGUGAUGGAAGUGUUUACAGAGCACAACUACCUUGUGGUAAAGUAGUUGCCUUGAAGAAACUUCAUCGUUUAGAAGCUGAAAAUCCAGCCUUUGACAAGAGCUUCAGGAAUGAGAUCAAGUUUCUAACAGAAAUACGACAUCGAAGCAUCGUAAAGCUUCAUGGGUUUUGUCUACACCGACGGUCCAUGUUUUUGAUCUAUGAGUACAUGGAAAGAGGGAGUUUGUUCUGCAACCUAAGAGAUGAAGUGGAAGCUAUGGAAAUGGAUUGGACAAAAAGAGUGGAGAUCAUCAAGGGCAUAGCGCAUGCUUUGUCUUACUUGCACUAUGAUUGCAGCCCUCCAAUAGUUCAUCGAGACAUAUCAAGUAACAAUGUUCUUUUAAAC